UACGUAGGAGGCGAGCGUUGUCCGGAAUUACUGGGCGUAAAGAGCGCGUAGGCGGCUUGGCAAGUCGGGUGUGAAACCUCCAGCUCAACCUGGAGACGCCACUCGAUACUGCCAUGGCUAGAGUCCGGUAGGGGACCACGGAAUUCCUGGUGUAGCGGUGAAAUGCGUAGAUAUCAGGAGGAACACCGGUGGCGAAGGCGGUGGUCUGGGCCGGCACUGACGCUGAGGAGCGAAAGCGUGGGUAGCAAACAGG
rnacentral:rRNA from 1 species